rnacentral:rRNA from 1 species
AGUGAACGCUGGCGGUAGGCCUAACACAUGCAAGUCGAACGGCAGCACAGUAAGAGCUUGCUCUUACGGGUGGCGAGUGGCGGACGGAUGAGGAAUACAUCGGAAUCUACUUUUUCGUGGGGGAUAACGUAGGGAAACUUACGCUAAUACCGCAUACGACCUACGGGUGAAAGCAGGGGAUCUUCGGACCUUGCGCGAUUGAAUGAGCCGAUGUCGGAUUAGCUAGUUGGCGGGGUAAAGGCCCACCAAGGCGACGAUCCGUAGCUGGUCUGAGAGGAUGAUCAGCCACACUGGAACUGAGACACGGUCCAGACUCCUACGGGAGGCAGCAGUGGGGAAUAUUGGACAAUGGGCGCAAGCCUGAUCCAGCCAUACCGCGUGGGUGAAGAAGGCCUUCGGGUUGUAAAGCCCUUUUGUUGGGGAAGAAAAGCAGCAGGUUAAUACCCCGCUGUUCUGACGGUACCCAAAGAAUAAGCACCGGCUAACUUCGUG